rnacentral:misc_RNA from 1 species
UCUCCGUUGGGGAACCAGCGGAGGGAUCAUUACCGAGUUUACAACUCCCAAACCCCUAUGUGAACGUUACCAAACUGUUGCCUCGGCGGGAAAUUCAUGCCCCGGGCGCGUCGCAGCCCCGGACCAAGGCGCCCGCCGGAGGACCAACCAAAACUCUUUUGUAUGUCCCUCGCGGACUUUUAUAAUUCUGAACCAUCUCGGCGCCCCUAGCGGGCGUUUCGAAAAUGAAUCAAAACUUUCAACAACGGAUCUCUUGGUUCUG